CCUGAGAAGAGAAGACAGCCAGGACAAGGAGAGUGGCGGCAAAAGAGAGAUGAGGCGCGGCUAAAAGAAGUCACCAUGGCGGUCUGGUCUGACAGGAGAAGAAGAGGAAAGAGAAUAUCUACAUCAGAGAAAAAAAGUCACUGGAUAUAAGAGUCUGAACUACAAUGGA